ensembl:lncRNA
GGUGUUCUACCCAGACUGGUUAUGACCAGAGCCUCCUUGCAACCCACUACUAUCUCAUUGCUCCUAACGUCCACAACCAGACUGCUGUCAGCCAGACGGUGACCAUCAGCUCGGUGUGGACAUCAGCUCGGGGAAGACUUUUUGAAGUCAAUGGACCAUUGACACAGCGUCAUGGAGAAGUGGACUCCUCCAGCUUCUACAAACAUGGCGUCAGUGACCUGUGUCUCCAUGGAGGUCUCCAGCCUGUACUGUGUCCCUCCCUGGCAGAGUAUCCUGCCUUUAUGCAUGCAGGAGGCCUGCAUUCUGCUUUCAGCAUCAUUGCACACCAAAUGGAAUAUGGAGAGUUUGCAGAUGCCUGUGAGAGCAAACAACACUUAAUCAUGUUUAGAUUGUUGAUAUUGAAAACGCAACAUGAGAAAAGGGAAAUGGAGGACAUGAUAUCCGAUCAGCCAAUUUGUCACUCUCUCCAAUAGGGGUUACAACAGGAGUUCUGAACAACAUGAGGUCCACCUCUGCCUCGGCUGGCGGAUUAACACAGCAGCGUCAGAGAGACCAGCCUCUGUGAAGCAGGUUUAGUUCACAGUGACGGCGUUGGGGUCUAUGCAGAAAACCGGGACCGCUUUCACAGUGGAGAAAACCUCGAGGCAGGAGACGAGGCGUCUGCAUGUGAGAAAAGCUGUUUGUGUCAUGCUGCGGCACACAUGACUUCCCGUAAUAACUCCUGUGGAAUAAGGAGUGGAAGCUUACUAGAGGAGUUCAAGGUUGCCACCCGGGACUCAAAGUGGCACACUGCUCUGUUGAUGGUUCCCAAAGCACCGCGUUUAAUGGACAGGCGUUUGAAUUUCAUGGUUCAUGUAACUACACCUUGGUGCAGAUGGGCCUCAAUAAAGUGGAUGCGGAGCCUGUCUUGAUAGCUGCACAGGGCGACCACAGUGAGGGCAGGCACAUCUACUUGCAAGUCA